GCGAGAGUGGUGAAAUUGGUAAACGCACUGGACUUAGAAUCCAGCCCACGUGAGUGGUUGGGGGUUCGAUUCCCCCCUCUCGCACCA
rnacentral:tRNA from 1 species